UCAUAUUCCCUCUUCUUACCCUCAUCUCUGCCUUUAGAAAUAAAUAUGACUCUGCCAGAUCUGUUUCUGAACAUGUGUGUGCAGUGAAAGGGAAGGCCUAGUCAGCCAAGACAAAAAAAGGAAUUCAUCAACUCCAUCAAGAGCUGGAGGAAAGUAAUACUGCAGCAGAAACAAUGUGGCACUACUUUCAAACAAGGUGUCAAGAGUCCCUGUCACUUCCUCUCACCCUCUUGGA
rnacentral:lncRNA from 1 species